rnacentral:rRNA from 1 species
ACAAAAACAUGUCUCUUUGUUAUUCUGAUAUGGAGAGUUUAACCUGCCCGGUGAUUGUUAUUUAACGGCCGCAGUACUUUGACUGUGCGAAGGUAGCAUAAUUAUUUGCCUUAUAAUUAAAGGCUUGUAUGAAUGGUUUGACGAGAAUAAAUCUGUCUUAAUUUGUUUUUUUAAAAUUUAACUUUGAAGUGAAGAGGCUUUUAUUUAAUUGAUAGACAAGAAGACCCUGUCGAGCUUGAUUUUUAUUUAUAAAUGUGUAUUUUUAUAUUAUUAAUUGAUUUUAGUUGGGGUGACUGAGGAAGUAUAUGAGUUUCCUUAUUAUUGUUUAAAUUUGUUUGUUUUGAUCCAUUGUUUUAUGAUUGGUAGAAUUAGUUACCGUAGGGAUAACAGCAUAAUCUUUUUUGAGAGUUCAUAUCGAAAAAUAGGUUUGUGACCUCGAUGUUGGAUUAAAAUUUCCUAAAGGUGCAGAAGUUUUUAAGGGUUAGUCUGUUCGACUAUUAAAAUUUUACAUGAGCUGAG